rnacentral:rRNA from 1 species
GCCGCNGUAUUCUGACUGUGCGAAGGUAGCAUAUCAUUAGCUUUUUAAUUGAAGGCUUGUAUGAAGGGUUUGACAAAGAAAAAACUGUCUUUAUUUUUAUUUUUGAAGUUAACUUUUAAGUGAAAAGGCUUAAAUAAAUCAAAGGGACGAUAAGACCCUAUAAAUCUUUAUACUAUUAUUUUAUUGGGGUGAUGAGAAUAUAAAAUUAACUGUUCUUAAGAAAAACAAAGUUAUUUGAAAAAUUGGUAGAUCCUUUAUAGAGAUUAAAAGUUUAAGUUACUUUAGGGAUAACAGCGUUAUUUUUUUUGAGAGUNCUNAUCGAANAAAAAGUUUGCGACCUCGA